rnacentral:rRNA from 1 species
GAUGAACGCUGGCGGCGUGCCUAAUACAUGCAAGUCGAGCGAAUGGAUUAAGAGCUUGCUCUUAUGAAGUUAGCGGCGGACGGGUGAGUAACACGUGGGUAACCUGCCCAUAAGACUGGGAUAACUCCGGGAAACCGGGGCUAAUACCGGAUAACAUUUUGAACCGCAUGGUUCGAAAUUGAAUGGCGGCUUCGGCUGUCACUUAUGGAUGGACCCGCGUCGCAUUAGCUAGUUGGGGAGGUAACGGCUCACCAAGGCAACGAUGCGUAGCCGACCUGAGAGGGUGAUCGGCCACACUGGGACUGAGACACGGCCCAGACUCCUACGGGAGGCAGCAGUAGGGAAUCUUCCGCAAUGGACGAAAGUCUGACGGAGCAACGCCGCGUGAGUGAUGAAGGCUUUCGGGUCGUAAAACUCUGUUGUUAGGGAAGAACAAGUGCUAGUUGAAUAAGCUGGCACCUUGACGGUACCUAACCAGAAAGCCACGGCUAACUACGUGCCAGCAGCCGCCGUAA